ACCUUCCUGCUCAUCUUCAUCCUGAUCCUCAUCAUUUCCUGCUACUUUGGAUAUCUGUUGAAAGGGAGGCAACUGCUGCACACGACAUACAAGAUGUUCAUGAUGGCGGCUGGAGUGGAAGUUCUCAGCCUGAUGUUCUUCUGCAUCUACUGGGGCCAAUAUGCCAGCGACGGAGUCGGGAACGGAAGCCUCAAAAUCCUG